rnacentral:rRNA from 1 species
GUUGAACGCUGGCGGCGUGCCUAAUACAUGCAAGUCGAGCGAACAGACGAGGCGCUUGCUUCUCUGAAGUUAGCGGCGGACGGGUGAGUAACACGUGGAUAACCUACCUAUAAGACUGGGAUAACUUCGGGAAACCGGAGCUAAUACCGGAUAAUAUAUUGAACCGCAUGGUUCAUUAGUGAACGACGGUUUUGCUGUCCCUUAUAGAUGGAUCCGCGUCGCAUUAGCUAGUUGGUAAGGUAACGGCUUACCAAGGCAACGAUGCGUAGCCGACCUGAGAGGAUGAUCAGCCACACUGGAACUGAGACACGGUCCAGACUCCUACGGGAGGCAGCAGUAGGGAAUCUUCCGCAAUGGGCGAAAGCUUGACGGAGCAACGCCGCGUGAGUGAAGAAGGUCUUCGGAUCGUAAAGCUCUUUUAGUAGGGAGGAACAAAAGUGUAAGAAACUAUGCACGUCUUGACGGUACCUAAUCAGAAAGCCACGGCUAACUACGUG